UCUGGUCCUCGGUAGUGGUCCUCGGGUGCAACGCGCCCCCGCGGACCUCGAUCGAAGACCGGC
rfam:Tessaracoccus bendigoensis DSM 12906 genome assembly, contig: EK12DRAFT_scaffold00040.40